CCUACGGGAGGCAGCAGUGGGGAAUAUUGGACAAUGGGGGCAACCCUGAUCCAGCCAUGCCGCGUGUGUGAAGAAGGCCCUCGGGUUGUAAAGCACUUUCAGUGAGGAAGAACGCCUGGUGGUUAAUACCCAUCAGGAAAGACAUCACUCUCAGAAGAAGCACCGGCUAACUCCGUGCCAGCAGCCGCGGUAAUACGGAGGGUGCGAGCGUUAAUCGGAAUUACUGGGCGUAAAGCGCGCGUAGGUGGCUUGAUAAGCCGGUUGUGAAAGCCCCGGGCUCAACCUGGGAACGGCAUCCGGAACUGUCAAGCUAGAGUGCAGGAGAGGAAGGUAGAAUUCCCGGUGUAGCGGUGAAAUGCGUAGAGAUCGGGAGGAAUACCAGUGGCGAAGGCGGCCUUCUGGACUGACACUGACAGUGAGGUGCGAAAGCGUGGGUAGCAAACAGGAUUAGAUACCCGGGUAGUC
rnacentral:rRNA from 1 species